rnacentral:misc_RNA from 1 species
AAAUAUUAUAAAAUUAAUAAUAAUACUUUAUUAUAAUUAGUACUUUAUAUACUUUAUAAAUAAUAAUUAAAAUAAAUUUAUAUAGACUUGGAAGCAGCAUUUUGAUUUUGAUUGUGGAUAUAUAUCGUAGGUGUACCCCUGUAAUUUUCUUUGGAUGUAUUUUAUACCUAUAUGUAUAGAUGUACGGACAUUGAGCAGUUAGUAUUUAAAAGCAUUGCAUUGCUA